UACGUAGGGUCCAAGCGUUGUCCGGAGUUACUGGGCGUAAAGAGCGCGCAGGCGGUCGGUCAAGUCGAGUGUGAAAGCCCCCGGCUCAACUGGGGAGGGUCAUUCGAUACUGAUCGACUCGAAGGCAGGAGAGGGUAGUGGAAUUCCCGGUGUAGUGGUGAAAUGCGUAGAUAUCGGGAGGAACACCAGUGGCGAAGGCGACUACCUGGCCUGUUCUUGACGCUGAGGCGCGAAAGCUAGGGGAGCAAACGGG
rnacentral:rRNA from 1 species